GAUGAAGAACGUAGCGAAAUGCGAUAAGUAAUGUGAAUUGCAGAAUUCAGUGAAUCAUCGAAUCUUUGAACGCACAUUGCGCCCUCUGGUAUUCCGGGGGGCAUGCCUGUUCGAGCGUCAUUAUAACCACUCAAGCUCUCGCUUGGUAUUGGAGUUCGCGAUCUCGCGGCUCCUAAAAUCAGUGGCGGUGCCUGUCGGCUCUACGCGUAGUAAUACUCCUCGCGAUUGAGUCCGGUAGGUUUACUUGCCAGCAACCCCCAAUUUUUACAGGUUGACCUCGGAUCAGGUAGGGAUACCCGCUGACCUUAAGCAUAUCAAUAAGCGGAGGA
rnacentral:misc_RNA from 1 species